AUGCUGAAGAGAAAAGGCCGAAUGGCUGUUGAGGAAAGUCAGCAGGGGCUUGCCAAGAAGGCGAAGACAUGGAGUAAAGACGGAACCAAAGAAAAACAGAGUCUGAAGAGAAAAAGUCAAAUGGCUGAUGAGGGAAGUGGGGUUGACAAGUCGCAGCAGAGCUGGCAUGCUUGGCUGGCGUCUAAAGGACCGGGGAAGCAAUCUGCACGAAUUCUGCAGGGUAGAGGGAGUAGACCUCCAGAAUCUGAGAAAAAGACUAUCACAGAGGAUGAGGAUCAAGAAGGCAGGGAGGGCUGGCUGUCUAAAGGACCGGGGAAGCAGCAGUCUGCACGAAUUCUGCAGGGUAGAGGGAGUAGACCUCCAGAAUCUGAAACAAAGACUAUCACGGAGGAUGAGAAUGAGGAUCAAGAAGGCAGGGAUGGCUGGCUGGUUAUGGACAAUCUUCCUGAUCUACUUUACGAGCUCAGGAACUUCUUUGUGCAUGCCCCUGAGUUACUUGUUGACAUUGAGAAGGUGCUUGAAAUAGAUGACAUGACUGAUAUAGUCUAUUUGAUAGAGUUCUUUUUUCCAUUCGCCUUGCCCAAACUUGUCGACUUAGUGAGGUUCUUCCGUCAUAUCACGCAGUUCAACAAAAUGUUCGAGACCUACGCUGAGAGAUGA
rnacentral:rRNA from 1 species